GAGGGUAUAGCUCAGCGGCAGAGCACCUGUUUAGCAUGCACGAGGCUGUGGGUUUAACCUCCAGUACCUCCA
rnacentral:tRNA from 1 species